UAGGGAAUCUUCCGCAAUGGACGAAAGUCUGACGGAGCAACGCCGCGUGAACGAUGAAGGCCUUCGGGUCGUAAAGUUCUGUUGUUAGGGAAGAACAAGUACGAGAGUAACUGCUCGUACCUUGACGGUACCUAACCAGAAAGCCACGGCUAACUACGUGCCAGCAGCCGCGGUAAUACGUAGGUGGCAAGCGUUGUCCGGAAUUAUUGGGCGUAAAGCGCGCGCAGGUGGUUCUUUAAGUCUGAUGUGAAAGCCCACGGCUCAACCGUGGAAGGUCAUUGGAAACUGGGGAACUUGAGUGCAGAAGAGGAAAGUGGAAUUCCAAGUGUAGCGGUGAAAUGCGUAGAUAUUUGGAGGAACACCAGUGGCGAAGGCGACUUUCUGGUCUGUAACUGACACUGAGGCGCGAAAGCGUGGGGAGCAAACA
rnacentral:rRNA from 1 species